UACGUAGGGACCGAGCGUUGUCCGGAAUCAUUGGGCGUAAAGAGCGUGUAGGCGGCCACUUAAGUCCUGCGUGAAAUCUUGCGGCUCAACCGCAAGCGGUCGUGGGAAACUGGGUGGCUAGAGUGCGGGAGAGGAGAGUGGAAUUCCUGGUGUAGCGGUGGAAUGCGCAGAUAUCAGGAAGAACACCCGUGGCGAAGGCGGCUCUCUGGACCGUAACUGACGCUGAGGCGCGAAAGCGUGGGGAGCAAACAGG
rnacentral:rRNA from 1 species